GUACUUACCAGGCAGGGGAGAUACCAUGAUCACCAAGGCGGUUUUCCCAGGUGAAGGCUCAUCCAUUGCACUCCGGAUGUACUGACCCCUGCAAUUUCCCCAAAGUGGGAAACUCGCCUGCAUAAGGUGUGGUAGUGGGGGACUGCGUCUGCCCUCUCCCCUG